rnacentral:sRNA from 1 species
GCCAGUGGCCUUAAGGAAGAACUUAUACCUGAAAAAUUAGAAAGGGUAGAAAAUCCAUUAGAGGAAGCCGUUAAGUUCCUUAUACCUCUUAAGAACCUUGUUGCUGAUAACAUUGACACUCAUCUGUUAGCAUUUGAAAUAUAUUUUAGAAAAGGAAAGUUUCUGUUAAUGCUGCAGUCUGUCAAACGAGCUUUUGCUAUUAACAGUAAUAACCCAUGGUUACAUGAAUGUUUAAUUAGAUUUUCUAAAUCUGACAUUGUGAGCAAAGUUCUAUCUCAAGAAAUGCAGAAAAUAUUUGUCAAAAAGGAUUUGGAGAGUUUUAAUGAGGAUUUUCUGAAACGUAACGCUACCUCUCUUCAGCAUCUACUUUCAGG